GUAGGUGAACCUGCGGAAGGAUCAUUAAUGAGAAGUUCUUUUGAACCAAUCAUAUAACACCCCAUUGUUUUAACUCCACCCCUCUCUUGCUUCCACUGGUCAGUGUUGAGCCCUUCGUCUUGACGUUGGGCAAGACCCUUCAUGCGCUUCAAAUUCUUGGAGUGGCUGGAGCGUGCCGGUGCUUGCCUACCAAAAAAAAAAAAUACUUGAAUAUGAGAAAUACUGUCUGAAUCAAAAAAAUUUUAUAAAU
rnacentral:misc_RNA from 1 species